rnacentral:rRNA from 1 species
UAUUGGACAAUGGGCGGUAGCCUAAUCCAGCCAUGCCGCGUGCAGGAAGAAUGUCCUAUGGACUGUAAACUUCUUUUGUACAGGGAUAAACCUACCCUCGUGAGGGUAGCUGAAGGUACUGUACGAAUAAGCACCGGCUAACUCCGUGCCAGCAGCCGCGGUAAUACGGAGGGUGCAAGCGUUAUCCGGAUUUAUUGGGUUUAAAGGGUCCGUAGGCGGACCUGUAAGUCAGUGGUGAAAUCUCAUAGCUUAACUAUGAAACUGCCAUUGAUACUGCAGGUCUUGAGUAAAUUUGAAGUGGCUGGAAUAAGUAGUGUAGCGGUGAAAUGCAUAGAUAUUACUUAGAACACCAAUUGCGAAGGCAGGUCACUAAGAUUUAACUGACGCUGAUGGACGAAAGCGUGGGUAGCGAACA